AGCGAACGCUGGCGGCAGGCCUAACACAUGCAAGUCGAACGAACCUUUCGGGGUUAGUGGCGGACGGGUGAGUAACACGUGGGAACGUGCCUUUAGGUUCGGAAUAACUCAGGGAAACUUGUGCUAAUACCGAAUGUGCCCUUCGGGGGAAAGAUUAAUCGCCUUUAGAGCGGCCCGCGUCUGAUUAGCUAGUUGGUUGAGGUAAUGGCUCACCAAGGCGACGAUCAGUAGCUGGUCUGAGAGGAUGAUCAGCCACACUGGGACUGAGACACGGCCCAAAAUCCUACGGGAGGCAGCAGUGGGGAAUCUUGCGCAAUGGGCGAAAGCCUGACGCAGCCAUGCCGCGUGAAUGAUGAAGGUCUUAGGAUUGUAAAAUUCUUUCACCGGGGACGAUAAUGACGGUACCCGGAGAAGAAGCCCCGGCUAACUUCGUG
rnacentral:rRNA from 1 species